rnacentral:rRNA from 1 species
UUCAAGAUGAGAUCUGCCGGGGCCUUGAGCCCCCUGAAGAGUCGUUCAAGACCAGGACGUUGAUAGGUCGGGUGUGGAAGCGCAGUAAUGCGUUAAGCUAACCGAUACUAAUUGCUCGUGCGGCUUGACCCUAUAACUUUG